UAUUUACAGAUGCUUUGGGGACACAUCAGCACCGCGACAUUACAACUACUGGCUGUCGGCCCUCGGACACAUUUAAGAGAAGAGAGAGGCUCGCUUUCUUUUCUCAGCAAACAAGUGCUAGCUUCUUCGCUGACCAAAAAUUAAGGAAGGAAAACACCAUUUUCAAAACGAUCCACCUUUUCACGGCCGAGACGGAUGUUAGUCUACGGUGCUGCCUCGCGCUGUCGAGCCUCUGGAAUGAGCCCGCUGUGGAAUGACCAUUUCUGACUUGCUAUGGGAUGCUCACAAGUACCCUUCCUGUCUCGUUAGUAUUGGAAUCAAGACUCAUUAUUUGGAAUCUAUACAGCAGUGUUCCUCCACUGUGUUUCAUUUGCAAAAGUAGAGAACAUGCCUUCUCCACCCUUUUGCAAAUAAAUGAUACUCCAUAUUGGAUUCUCAAAAGACUUCGAUAUGGUGAUCCUGUCAAACCUAGAAAUUGUAUUAUCUUUUCAUACCUGACUUCCCCCACUUCUCCUGUUUUAGAGGAAACAGCACACUUUCAGUUACGGACACAGUCUCCAUUUCUAGAGUAUGUGUGUUGCAGCCAUCCAAGGUCAUAGCUGGCUCAGCCAGACUCAUGCCAUUGUUCUCACUGCCUGUCCUACCAUGGUGCACAUGGGGAGGGAAGAAGAAUGUGCGUCUGGGAAACAGCUACAUAGACUUUUUGUUUUUUUACUACUCUGAUUCUGUAACACUUCUGAGUUUUGUUCUAAUUUUACAGAAAACAAACAAGACCACAAUGAUAAAGCAGAAGCCCACAAGGUUUGUGGCUGAAUCUUAGAGUCACCCGACCUUUCCUGGCCAACAGGUCUACAUGGCCAAAUUUAUUUACAAGAGUAAUAAUUUCUUCAGAAGCCAAUUUUUUUUCUGUAUUUCUGUACAAAACUGCCAAUAUCAUGAACAGAAGGGGAGAACCGUAAAGGAGAAAGCAAGUGAUGUUCGGUGGCGUUUGCAUUAGCCUAAAGCAGCGGUGUGACGAUGACUCCAUCAGCCGAGCUCCAGGGACUUGGUGUUGCUUGGGAGGGAUCCAUACAGCAUUUUGCGUUCUUCAUGUGUAAUCAUAUUGCCAAAGACAAACUACUUCAUCAUUUAUUGUAAAUAACACUUCCCCAGACCUACCAUAAAGUUUCUGUGAUGUAUUGUCUUCCAGUUGCAAUAAAAAUGACUGAGUUGCAUCAAUU
ensembl:lncRNA